GUGCCGGUCCGCGCUGAACGCCUCGGGCGACACUCAUAAUCGCUCGGUCGCGGGUUCGAUACCCGCCCGGCCCA
rnacentral:tRNA from 1 species